UACGAAGGGAGCUAGCGUUGUUCGGAAUCACUGGGCGUAAAGCGCACGUAGGCGGAUUUGUCAGUCAGGGGUGAAACCCCGGGGCUCAACCUCGGAACUGCCUUUGAUACAGCAAGUCUUGAGUUCGAGAGAGGUGGGUGGAAUUCCUAGUGUAGAGGUGAAAUUCGUAGAUAUUAGGAAGAACACCGGUGGCGAAGGCGGCCCACUGGCUCGAUACUGACGCUGAGGUGCGAAAGCUAGGGGAGCAAACGGG
rnacentral:rRNA from 1 species